rnacentral:rRNA from 1 species
CCUACGGGUGGCAGCAGUCGAGAAUCAUUCACAAUGGGGGAAACCCUGAUGGUGCGACGCCGCGUGGGGGAAUGAAGGUCUUCGGGUUGUAAGCCCCGGUCGUGGGGGAGCAAAUUAAAAAUAUAGGACCACAAGAGGAAGACACAGCUAACUCUAGGCCAGCAGCCGCUAUAAUACAGAGGUCUCAAGCGUUGUUCGGAAGCACUGGGCGUAAAGCGUGCGUAGGCGGUUUGGUAAGUCGAGUGUGAAAGGCGCGGGCGCAACCCGCGGACGGCACAUGAUACUGCGAGACUAGGGUAGUGGAGGGGGAAGCGGAAUUCUUGGUGUAGCAGUGAAAUGCGUAGAUAUCGAGAGGAACACCGGUGGCGAAGGCGGGUUCCUGGACAUUAACUGACGCUGAGGCACGAAGGCGAGGGGAGCGAAAGGGAUUAGAUACCCCAGUAGUC